rnacentral:rRNA from 1 species
GAUGAACGCUGGCGGCGUGCUUAACACAUGCAAGUCGAACGGUGAAAGAGGAGCUUGCUCCUCUGGAUCAGUGGCGAACGGGUGAGUAACACGUGAGUAACCUGCCCUUGACUCUGGGAUAAGCACUGGAAACGGUGUCUAAUACCGGAUACGAGCUUCAGUCGCAUGACUAGGAGCUGGAAAGAAUUUCGGUCAAGGAUGGACUCGCGGCCUAUCAGCUAGUUGGUGAGGUAAUGGCCCACCAAGGCGACGACGGGUAGCCGGCCUGAGAGGGUGACCGGCCACACUGGGACUGAGACACGGCCCAGACUCCUACGGGAGGCAGCAGUGGGGAAUAUUGCACAAUGGGCGCAAGCCUGAUGCAGCAACGCCGCGUGAGGGACGACGGCCUG